rnacentral:rRNA from 1 species
AGCGAACGCUGGCGGCAGGCCUAACACAUGCAAGUCGAACGAACUCUUCGGAGUUAGUGGCGGACGGGUGAGUAACACGUGGGAACGUGCCUUUAGGUUCGGAAUAACUCAGGGAAACUUGUGCUAAUACCGAAUGUGCCCUUCGGGGGAAAGAUUUAUCGCCUUUAUAGCGGCCCGCGUCUGAUUAGCUAGUUGGUGAGGUAAAGGCUCACCAAGGCGACGAUCAGUAGCUGGGCUGAGAGGAUGAUCAGCCACAUUGGGACUGAGACACGGCCCAAACUCCUACGGGAGGCAGCAGUGGGGAAUCUUGCGCAAUGGGCGAAAGCCUGACGCAGCCAGGCCGCGUGAAUGAUGAAGGUCUUAGGAUUGUAAAAUUCUUUCACCGGGGACGAUAAUGACGGUACCCGGAGAAGAAGCCCCGGCUAACUUCGUG